UUUUGAAUCACCCUGUAUAUAUAUAUAUAUUUAAUAUUAAAGUCGAGCGAAUAAGAGCGAGUAAGAGAGAUAAAGUCAAGCGAAUAAAAGAGAAAAUUUUAUUAAAGAUAUCGCUAAAUGGUAUAAGACUUUUUUGUUUGUCUCGAUGCGUUCUAUCACACGAACGUUAUUAAGGGUAUUCCGGGACACCCUAUAUAUAUAUAUAUAUAUAUCACCUCGUAUAUAAGAAAUCUUAUUAUAUGAUAUCCAAAAGACAUUUUAAAGAUAUCUUAAAGAUAUUUAUGCACCAAUUUUGGAUUUGGUAUUGUUUGAGUUACGUUCAAUUUCUCUUAUAUAAAUGUAUGUAUUUGUGCAAACUAUGGAAAUGGAAAAGAAUGUUUGGCAUCCCAUUUGAAGUAUCAAAAAAGUGAUCUUUAUAUUUUGAUAAAAAAGAAAGAUAUGCAAAUAAUGACUAAUUGUAAUUGUUUCGACACAAUAAUGUAAUAAAAUUAUAUCCAGUUUAAGAUCACGUUGUAUCGUCAUGUUUAGUAAUAUUCGCUUCUAAAAUUUAGUAAAGUCACGAACGGUAAAUUCGAACGUCAAGCAAAUAUUGUCUGUAAAUGUUAUCGAGUUAAAUUUUAUGGAUACUGUUCUCCGCGUUCUUAUUUGCGCACCUUUUUGUUGUUUUCGCGCCGACUUCGCGUUCGUAAUACAAAGGAGUCAUGUGUCCUCUACAUUUCUUUGUACACUCUCUCUUUAUCUGUACAUGAGAUAUUAUAAAUCUAUCAAAACUGUUUGUCAACCCCCUCUUCAUACUUGUUUGUCAAAAUUCACGGCUUGCCGUCUGCGGACGGGCCAGUCGUCUCUCAGCGUUCGUAAAGAAUAAAUCGAUAUCCACGACAAGUUCUCCUCUAAUUACUUUCCUAACAAUCUCGAGAUUUCGACGUCGCCAGUGCCGGAUCACGCGUAUAUCUCAAUCACAAUAUAAUUUUUAAAUGAGUACUGUGAGCGCAGCGGAUCUGGCUUUCUACGAAAAAUCAAAAACCUACCUAAA